UAGAACAAGACAGCCCUAUACAAGUCCUCACAGCAGGACCACAGCUGGUACCUCUAGCAAUGCCUGGGAAGCCUUCGUUCUUUGUAUUUUAAAAAAGCAGCUCAUGAAAACCCAGCAUCCAUUUCAAGCAAUUGUAAUUGGUAAGAACCAAAAAAUGUGAAAUUUUAUUGUUCAUGAAAUUGGUUUUUCAAAUAGGAAGCCUCACGCUGCAGAGAUCUCUUGUUUGUGACACAAGAGUCUUCAGAGAAAGUUGAAUGAAUGUACGUGGAUGGAGUCCUUGUAGGUCAAAAUGGUUACAUUGUCUUGAAUGAGGACUUGGCCCUCAACUGCUCUCAUGGUAUUUGCAAACUACCAGUGACAG
rnacentral:lncRNA from 1 species